rnacentral:misc_RNA from 1 species
AACGCACAUUGCGCCCGCCAGUACUCUGGCGGGCAUGCCUGUUCGAGCGUCAUUUCAACCCUCAGGCCCCCUAGGGCGGCCUGGUGUUGGGGAUCGGCUGGCUGCGCGGGUCAGGAACACCCUCCCACCCCUCGGGGCGGUGGGGGAGUCCCUGCCGCCCGCAAACGCCCGCCGCCCCCUAAAUGAAUUGGCGGUCUCGCCGCGGCCUCCUCUGCGUAGUAGCACACGACCUCGCAGCAGGGAGCGCGGCGCGGCCACUGCCGUAAAACGCACCACGACUCCUCUGGAGUUGACCUCGAAUCAGGUAGGACUACCCGCUGAACUUAA